GACGAACGCUGGCGGCGUGCUUAAUACAUGCAAGUCGAGCGAGGCCCAUCCAGUGGCAACACUGGGGAAGGCCGAGCGGCGAACGGGUGAGUAACACGUGAGCAACCUGCCCCGAAGUCUGGAAUAACAUCGGGAAACCGGUGCUAAUACCGGAUUGCCCCACCUGACCGCAUGAUCGGGCGAGGAAAGAUUUAUCGCUUCGGGGAGGGGCUCGCGGCCUAUCAGCAGUUGGCGGGUAACGGCCCACCAAGGCGUCGACGGGUAGCUGGUCUGAGAGGACGACCAGCCACACUGGGACUGAGACACGGCCCAGACUCCUACGGGAGGCAGCAGUAGGGAAUCUUGCGCAAUGGGCGAAAGCCUGACGCAGCAACGCCGCGUGGGGGAUGACGGCCU
rnacentral:rRNA from 1 species